rnacentral:rRNA from 1 species
GAUGAACGCUGGCGGCGUGCCUAAUACAUGCAAGUCGAGCGAACAGACGAGGAGCUUGCUCCUCUGACGUUAGCGGCGGACGGGUGGGUAACACGUGGAUAACCUACCUAUAAGACUGGGAUAACUUCGGGAAACCGGAGCUAAUACCGGAUAAUAUAUUGAACCGCAUGGUUCAAUAGUGAAAGACGGUUUUGCUGUCACUUAUAGAUGGAUCCGCGCCGCAUUAGCUAGUUGGUAAGGUAACGGCUUACCAAGGCGACGAUGCGUAGCCGACCUGAGAGGGUGAUCGGCCACCCUGGAACUGAGACACGGUCCAGACUCCUACGGGAGGAAGCAGUAGGGAAUCUUCCGCAAUGGGCGAAAGCCUGACGGAGCAACGCCGCGUGAGUGAUGAAGGUCUUCGGAUCGUAAAACUCUGUUAUUAGGGAAGAACAAAUGUGUAAGUAACUAUGCACGUCUUGACGGUACCUAAUCAGAAAGCCACGGCUAACUACGUG